ACGCCUUUAGCUCAAUUGGAUAGAGCAAUCGGCUUUUAACCGAUAGGUUCUGGGAUCAUGCCCCAGAGGGCGUA
rnacentral:tRNA from 2 species